AUGGAGAGUCGUAUCAAAGUAAAACAUUCUGUUAUGGAUAGUGGUACCAAGCUUAAUCAAAGGAAACAAGAUUGGUUAAUGAGGCCUUACUUAGAGAAUGCGGUGAAAGAUGCAGUGUUCAGCAUACCUGGAAAGAAAGCUCCAGGCCCUGAUGGAUAUAGUAGCUAUUUUUUCCAUGAUAACUGGGACAUCAUUGGUUCUGUUAUUGCUACUAAAAUGAUUUGCAGCUGA